rnacentral:snoRNA from 1 species
CGCCUGCAUUCGUAAGUGAUCACGGGCUGCCCGUGUCCUGGUCAUUGGUAGUGCAGGCAGAGGAAAUGCGGGAAAGGUUGCUGUGUUUGGAGGGUCCACAUCUUCACCCUCCUGUCCCAGGAGCUUUCCUACACUC